UACGUAGGGUGCGAGCGUUAAUCGGAAUUACUGGGCGUAAAGCGUGCGCAGGCGGUUCGUCGUGUCCGAUGUGAAAUCCCCGGGCUUAACUCGGGAACUGCGUCUGAUACUGGAAGGCUCGAGUUCGGGAGAGGAAUGUGGAAUUCCAGGUGUAGCGGUGAAAUGCGUAGAUAUCUGGAGGAACACCGGUGGCGAAGGCGGCAUUCUGGACCGAAACUGACGCUGAGGCGCGAAAGCCAGGGGAGCAAACGGG
rnacentral:rRNA from 1 species